rnacentral:lncRNA from 1 species
UUUAUCUGUAAUGUUCAUACAAUAAUUUUAAUUUAAAUUGUAUAUUAUUAUGAACGAGCUUCUGGUUGGGAAAAUAUACACUCAUGGCAAGUUAUUACAGGUUCUUUCGGUCUCUUUAAAAAUACACCACUAUAUGUCUCUUACAUUGAAGUAUUGUUUAAAAGUUCUCCCCUGCACAUAAUUACUAUUAGUACCCAUGGAUUCUUUCAUUUAUUUGUAUGUUAUAUUCUUGUAGGAUGUUGAUUCAAUGAUAAAAUCCUGUUAAAUAAACCGUAUUAGACUCUUGGAAUUCUUCAUUCUGUUGCUGCAAUCUAAAAAUAAAAUUCAGGGUACAAUUCAGGGUACAAUUUUCGUCAAAUAAUCAUCAAAUACUACGGUAACCUUACCAAUCAGGGUUAUUACUAAGGAAUUUUAAAGAUGAGUCCACAUAUUUCGCAUUUCUGACAUGUGCAAUGGUGAGAUUAAGGAUUUUUUG